CAACAUUGUCAAUGGGGGAGGGGGGAAAUGGUAAGAAUUCUGAUUGACUUAGAGCGAAAAUGCCAACAAAUGCAUUGAUUGGUCGAGAGCGAAACUCUCCCCCCCCUUGUUGUAAAAUAUAGGAUAGUUCCAUAACAUCGUCAAAACACGAAGUUAAUUAAGAAGGGUCAAACUUAAAUAUACCUCGUUUGUUGAAAAGUGUAACGAGUCACCUCAAUUAGACAUGGAAUUAUUGAGGCUUUAAGUUUUAAUCACAUAGAUGGAAAAAUUACCGAAAUAUGAUUGGCCAAUGAUGAGGUCAUUUUUUCUUAAUUCAGGACAAAAUUACUUGAUUGGCUGAGACGCAAGCGCAGAAGUUCCUUAUUUUAAAUAGCAAUAAAAACAAUGGCUUCUCGCUUUGUCGUUGCGGAUAAUGAUAUUAUUAAAGAAUUAAAAACAUCUAGUGAAAACUCGAACACUAAAAAAGUACAAAUAUAUGGGUUGUAGUUAUUAAGAAAUGGGCAGCAUUAUUGCAUUAGGAACACCGGCGAAGACACGGAACAUACGAGGUUCAAGAACUUGACAAGUUCACAAUUACUUAUACCAAUAAAUUUCGCCCUCUACAGGGUGUAUAAAAAACUGAACACAUUUGAAAUUGCUCUUAAUUUCGCAAAACAACUCGUGGUAUCAAGUUUUUGUUAGAUAUAGAUUCUUGGAUACCCAUAAUGUAGAAUAAUGAAAAAAAUACUCGAACACAAAU